rnacentral:rRNA from 1 species
UACAUGGGGUGCAAACGUUGCUCGGAAUCAUUGGGCGUAAAGCGCGCGUAGGCGGUUACUUAAGUCGGAUGUGAAAGCCCUCGGCUUAACCGAGGAAGUGCAUCCGAAACUGAGUAGCUAGAGUACUAAAGAGGGUCGCGGAAUUCCUGGUGUAGCGGUGAAAUGCGCAGAUAUCAGGAGGAACACCGGUGGCGAAGGCGGGUCUCUGGGCCGAUACUGACGCUGAGGAGCGAAAGCGUGGGGAGCGAACAGG